GAUGUUACAUUUUCUUAAUGAAGCCUUUUCACUUGCCCAUGCAGGUGACUGGUUAUCUUUCAAGAUAUAUGGGAUUGCUCUAAGAAGCUCUAGGGCUUAUCGUGUAGUUUAUAGCAGCUCCUGAAUGAGGGGUACGAGUGUGUUUGCGAGGUAAAAGGCUGAAGUGACAACACCUCUGGGACUGAUCCCCAGUGCACAGAACUUCCAUGGUGGUGUGUGUAGUUCCAAGGCCCACUUGAGCUACUCUUGGUGAUGUCAGCAGAUUGAAAGCUAUCAGGCGCUUUGACUUCUAGGGAGCGUUCAUGUGUUGCACUCCCAUGGUCUGUUAAAACAUCAUGAUAGUCCUGUCUAAUGGAAUAAACAUGAUAGUAUUCUUGAACAAAUGCUAUACACAAACUCCUUGUAUGCCUCAUAUGCUUCGCCUUUACUGCUUAAUCUCUCACAAGUGACCUCCACUACUCAUACUUUCGCCUACUUAAUGCAUGUAUAAGACUACAGUUCUUUGUGUAUAUACUGAAAUGGGUGUAUGACAGGUUCUUUGUUUUCAAUU